rnacentral:rRNA from 1 species
AUACGUAGGGUGCAAGCGUUAAUCGGAAUUACUGGGCGUAAAGCGUGCGCAGGCGGUUUUGGAAGACAGAGGUGAAAUCCCCGGGCUCAAACUGGGAACUGCCUUUGUGACUGCGAGGCUAGAGUACGGCAGAGGGGGAUGGAAUUACGCGUGUAGCAGUGAAAUGCGUAGAUAUGCGGAGGAACACCGAUGGCGAAGGCAAUCCCCUGGGCCUGUACUGACGCGCAUGCACGAAAGCGGGGGGAGCAAACAGGAUUAGAUACCCUGGUAGUCCACGCCCUAAACGAUGUCAACUGGUUGUUGGGUCUUCAUUGACUCAGUAACGAAGCUAACGCGUGAAGUUGACCGCCUGGGGAGUACGGCCGCAAGGUUGAAACUCAAAGGAAUUGACGGGG